rfam:Firmicutes bacterium CAG:882 genomic scaffold, scf60
CCGUGCAGCCGGGGAGAUAGCGGUGCCCUGUACCUGCAAUCCGCUACAGCAGGGGUGAUGUCUUUCCUAGGGAAGCCCGCAGAGAGGCUGCCCGGUAUAAGUGACGUUGAUAUCUUGGUCCUACGCAAUAGGAAUCUGUGAACCAUGUCAGGUCGGGAACGAAGCAGCAUUAAGCAGAAGCUCUUAUGUGACGUGGGGGCGCCGGGGUUGAGUUGGCUGUAUCGGUAACGCUCUUUGUGCCUUCACGAAGAAAGACGCACGG